ensembl:rRNA 5S_rRNA 5S ribosomal RNA
UCCAGCAGCCAUAUCAUCCUGCAACUCACAACUGGCAGCCCACUGAAACUAAGCAGGUGUGAGCCUGGUCAGUACCUGGAUGGGAGACCUCCUGGGAAAAACUAAGGUUGCUGCUGGAA